GUCCAGACUCCUCGGGAGGCAGCAGUGAGGAAUAUUGGUCAAUGGUCGGGAGACUGAACCAGCCAAGCCGCGUGAGGGAUGAAGGUACAGAGUAUCGUAAACCUCUUUUGUCAGGGAACAAAGGCGGGGACGUGUCCCCGGAUGAGUGUACCUGAAGAAAAAGCAUCGGCUAACUCCGUGCCAGCAGCCGCGGUAAUACGGAGGAUGCGAGCGUUAUCCGGAUUUAUUGGGUUUAAAGGGUGCGCAGGCGGAAGAUAAAGUCGGCGGAAAAAUUGAGAGGCUAAACCUCUUCGAGCCGUUGAAACUGGUUUUCUUGAGUGAGCGAGAAGUAUGCGGAAUGCGUGGUGUAGCGGUGAAAUGCAUAGAUAUCACGCAGAACUCCGAUUGCGAAGGCAGUAUACCGGCGCUCAACUGACGCUCAUGCACGAAAGUGUGGGUAUCGAACAGGAUUAGAUACCCUAGUA
rnacentral:rRNA from 1 species